GUUGUUUAGUUGAAAAUUAAUUAAAUAAUUUUUGAUUUUGAGUAGUAUUGACUUCAUCAGCUUGCUGCUCUCUUUUCGGAAAUUAUUUAAUGCACUUUUCAGUUAACAAGUCAACAUCAAUUUCUUUUGUUGUAAAAGGGUAAGAGGAAGGUGGCUUACAUUUCGGUGUAAGUGUUUAUAGCCUUUUACCUCUGCAAUCGGAGAGAUUGAGGUCAGCAGCGUAGACUCUUCGGGGUUAGAUACGCUUGUGCUAAGCUAUAGCCUUGUAUAGACAACUUGUUGACUAUACUCAGUCAUGUAGCUUACUCGCUUGCAGUAUUUUACCUAC
rnacentral:rRNA from 1 species